CUCUCAGGACAUCCAGCUCUUUGGGAUUGGUAUCCAGUCAGAACACUGUGUGUUGGAGAUCAGCCCAGAUGGGGGGGAGGUCACCCUCACCCCUAUAGAGAAUGCCAGAACCUGUGUGAAUGGAACCAUGACUGAGUCCUUGGUCCACCUGUGGCAUGGAGACCGCAUAUUGUGGGGCAACAACCACUUCUUCAGGAUAAACCUGCCUGGGAGGAAGCGGCGUGAGCGUCUGAAGGAGCUGGAGAGGGAACGGGCGUCCCAGGGAGAGC